rnacentral:sRNA from 1 species
CGAGGUACUCCCGGGCCCUCCUCUGGAAGCGGUGGUCAGUGCUGGCCAUCACGGGGCCCGUGGCUGCCGCCUGCACAUGCUGAGUGCCCGGCACUGCCAUUGCAGCUGCGCCCCUUGACAGCAUCCACAGCCUGGCUGCCUACUACAUCGACUGCAUCAGGCAGGUGCAGCCCGAGGGCCCCUACCGUGUGGCCGGCUACUCCUACGGGGCCUGCGUGGCCUUUGAAAUGUGCUCCCAGCUGCAGGCCCAGCAGAGCCCAGCCCCCACCCACAACAGCCUCUUCCUGUUCGACGGCUCGCCCACCUACGUACUGGCCUACACCCAGAGCUACCGGGCAAAGCUGACCCCAGGCUGUGAGGCCGAGGCCGAGACGGAGGCCGUAUGCUUCUUCGUGCAGCAGUUCACGGACAUGGAGCACAACAGGGUGCUGGAGGCGCUGCUGCCGCUGAAGGGCCUAGAGGAGCGUGUGGCAGCCGCCGUGGACCUGAUCAUCAAGAGCCACCAGGGCCUGGACCGCCAGGAGCUGAGCUUUGCGGCCCGGUCCUUCUACUACAAGCUGCGUGCCGCUGAGCAGUACACACCCAAGGCCAAGUACCAUGGCAACGUGAUGCUACUGCGCGCCAAGACGGGUGGCGCCUACGGCGAGGACCUGGGCGCGGACUACAACCUCUCCCAGGUGCACAAGGGGCCUGACGGGAACGGGGACAGGGACAGGAGUGGGGUGGGACGGCAGCUGAUCGCAUCCCCUGCAGGUAUGCGACGGGAAAGUAUCCGUCCACGUCAUCGAGGGUGACCACCGCACACUGCUGGAGGGCAGCGGCCUGGAGUCCAUCGUCAGCAUCAUCCACAGCUCCCUGGCUGAGCCACGCGUGAGCGUGCGGGAGGGCUAGGCCCGUGCCCCCGCCUGCCACCGGAGGUCACUCCACCAUCCCCACCCCACCCCACCCCACCCCACCCCACCCCCGCCAUGCAACGGGAUUGAAGGGUCCUGCCGGUGGGACCCUGUCCGGCCCAGUGCCACUGCCCCCCGAGGCUG